rnacentral:rRNA from 1 species
AUGGAGAUCAUCAUCUUCUACCUGGUCCCCAAGGUUCUGAAGAAAGCCUUCGACACGACGAUGGUAAGGGAGGUGGAUAUGAAAAAAUACGAGCUAUGGAAUCUCCCAAAUGAGAAGUUACUGAUCUUCUACAAGGGCAGGGCCCCUAGGGGGAGGAAGACAAACUGGAUGAUGCAUGAGUACAUAAUCGAGAUCGACAAGCAGCCGACACCCAACUUGCGCACCAACAUCGUCGAAGCCGCCACCAAUAAUGUGUCUUCCAAGAAGGUGGUGAUGCCUUCAUAUGCCCCGCCCAGUCUUUCGUCCAUUGGGGCAGAGCGGCAUCGGGGCUUCGUCGAAUCCAGUACAUUGGCUCCUCUCAUGGACUACGACGUGUUGUUGUCACUAGCGCCACUGCCGCUGCUGCCUACAACUUAUGUGUACCAGAUGCGUCCCAUCGGUGCCGGAUCAUCCAUGAUGGGUAGUGUAACGCUCCCAAUUUAUGUGUACAUAUUUUCACAUUAG